rnacentral:piRNA from 1 species
UGAGAAGGGAAUCUGAGACCUGG